UUGCAGGCUGAAAUUACGCCUGCAUGAAGCCGGAAUUGCUAGUAAUGGCAGGUCAGCAUACUGCCGUGAAUACGUUCCCGGGCCUUGUACACACCGCCCGUCACACCAUGAGAGUUGGGGAUACCCGAAGCCUGUGAGCCAACUUUUAGAGGCAGCAGUCGAAGGUAGAAUCAAUGAUUGGGGUGAAGUCGUAACAAGGUAGC
rnacentral:rRNA from 1 species